UACGUAGGUGGCAAGCGUUGUCCGGAAUUAUUGGGCGUAAAGCGCGCGCAGGUGGUUCUUUAAGUCUGAUGUGAAAGCCCACGGCUCAACCGUGGAGGGUCAUUGGAAACUGGGGAACUUGAGUGCAGAAGAGGAAAGUGGAAUUCCAAGUGUAGCGGUGAAAUGACGUAGAGAUUUGGAGGAACACCAGUGGCGAAGGCGACUUUCUGGUCUGUAACUGACACUGAGGCGCGAAAGCGUGGGGAGCAAACAGG
rnacentral:rRNA from 1 species